UACGAAGGGAGCUAGCGUUGUUCGGAAUUACUGGGCGUAAAGCGCACGUAGGCGGGCUCUUAAGUCAGGGGUGAAAUCCCGAGGCUCAACCUCGGAACUGCCUUUGAUACUGCGAGCCUCGAGGUCGGGAGAGGUGGGUGGAAUUCCUAGUGUAGAGGUGAAAUUCGUAGAUAAUAGGAAGAACACCAGUGGCGAAGGCGGCUCACUGGCCCGAAUCUGACGCUGAGGUGCGAAAGCGUGGGGAGCAAACAGG
rnacentral:rRNA from 1 species